rnacentral:misc_RNA from 1 species
CGUAAUGUACACUGUAUAUAAUUGAAUUCAUUUAAUAAUUAGAUAACGGCUAGUUAUGAUUAUCUUGCAAGUUUAGCGAUUCAAAAACUGCAUAUUGUAUAGCUUUUGCUGCCCUCACUUCCCGCAGGCGUUUGCAAUGUCUUAAGACUGUUAAUAAGUUCAAUUUCGUCUUAUCGAGCUUUGUCUUGGUCUGCCGGUGAUAGUCCUCAGCAGUAAAAAAAUACACCUUUCCUGCGGAGUGUGAUGAAACUUAGUAAUCCUAAUACCAGUAUAAAAUCCCCGUUUUUCCCUAGAGCUAAAAGGCUGUAUUUUGCCUUGAGAAUGGAAUUAAUGGUGACCAAGAAAUUAUUCAGAGUUUCCAAAGUCUGUCUGCCGAUCAUAUACUUGGGCAAUUGGUUGAACUCUUCCUGGGUUAUUAAGCUCAGCUCUGGAUAACAGGUGGUAGGUUCAUUGAACAGUGUCAUUUUACAGUUGUGGUGUUCUUCGUAUCUAUCAUUCUGUUUGAUUGCUGACAAGGUAUGUACGGAGUGCGGGGUAAAACUUUCUUGGCUUGGUUUUUUUACCCCCAUGCGUGAUAUAUCUGUCAUUCCUGACAAGGUUCCAAAAUUGCGCAGAUAGUCAGAUGGUACAUUAUUCUCCAUAUGAAUGAUCUUUGCGUUCAAUGACUCUAAAAGCACUGAUAAUUUCU